rnacentral:rRNA from 1 species
AGUGAACGCUGGCGGUAGGCCUAACACAUGCAAGUCGAACGGCAGCACAGUAAGAGCUUGCUCUUACGGGUGGCGAGUGGCGGACGGGUGAGGAAUACAUCGGAAUCUACUUUUUCGUGGGGGAUAACGUAGGGAAACUUACGCUAAUACCGCAUACGACCUACGGGUGAAAGCAGGGGAUCUUCGGACCUUGCGCGAUUGAAUGAGCCGAUGUCGGGUUAGCUAGUUGGCGGGGUAAAGGCCCACCAAGGCGACGCUCCGUAGCUGGUCUGAGAGGAUGAUCAGCCACACUGGAACUGAGACACGGUCCAGACUCCUACGGGAGGCAGCAGUGGAGAAUAUUGGACGAUGGGCGCGAGCCUGAUCCAGCCAUACCGCGUGGGUGAAGAAGGCCUUCGGGUUGUAAAGCCCUUUUGUUGGGAAAGAAAAGCAGCAGGUUAAUACCCCGCUGUUCUGACGGUACCCAAAGAAUAAGCACCGGCUAACUUCGUG